rnacentral:rRNA from 1 species
UACGUAGGGAGCGAGCGUUGUCCGGAAUUACUGGGCGUAAAGGGUGCGUAGGCGGUAAGCCAAGUCAGAUGUGAAAUCCCCGGGCUUAACUCGGGUGGUGCAUUUGAAACUGGCAUACUUGAGUGCAGGAGAGGAAAGCGGAAUUCCUAGUGUAGCGGUGGAAUGCGUAGAUAUUAGGAGGAACACCAGUGGCGAAGGCGGCUUUCUGGACUGUAACUGACGCUGAGGCACGAAAGCGUGGGGAG